rnacentral:rRNA from 1 species
AACGUGGGAAUUUGCCCUUAAGUGGGGAAUAAACUGCGUCGAAAGAGUAGCUAAUACCGCAUACGGUCCCUCCGUAAGAGGAGGAGAUAAAGGUUUCAGCAAUGGAGCCGCUUAAGGAGAAGCCUGCGGCUGAUUAGCUAGUUGGUGGGGUAAAAGCUUACCAAGGCAAUGAUCAGUAGCUGGUCUGAGAGGACGGUCAGCCACACUGGGACUGCGACACGGCCCAG